UACGAAGGUCCCUAGCGUUGUUCGGAAUCAUUGGGCGUAAAGCGCACGUAGGUGGCUUUGCAAGUCAGGUGUGAAAGCCUGGGGCUUAGCCCCAGAAGUGCACUUGAAACUGCUUAGCUUGAGUACGGGAGAGGUGAGUGGAAUUCCUGGUGUAGUGGUGAAAUACGUAGAUAUCAGGAGGAACAUCGGUGGCGAAGGCGGCUCACUGGCCCAGUACUGACACUGAGGUGCGAAAGCAUGGGGAUCAAACAGG
rnacentral:rRNA from 1 species